rfam:Ipomoea nil DNA, scaffold: scaffold1069, cultivar: Tokyo-kokei standard.
GAGAGCACAGUACGAUGAAAGUUGUAAACUGUGUUUGGGGGGGGGGGGGGGGGGGGGGUAAUUAUUGUCCUAUCGUUGGCCUCUAUGGUAGAAUCAGUCGGGGACCUGAGAGGCUGUGGUUUACCCUGC